AAUUUAAAUCUGAGUUUAUGCAUGGAUAGUGUCAUUUGAUAUCUUUUCGUAUUAAAACGGUCAUGGACGUUCAAGGACUUUACAUCGUUGUGACUUUGGUUUUAGUUUGAAACAUUAUCCGUUAGUAAAAUACCAAUAUCUAUGUGUUGUGGACAUUUCCCAUUCUAAAUAAAGUUGUAGACGCAUGUCCUAUUGGACGGUGAAGUCAUAUCACCGAUAUAUCGAGUGUUGUCAUCGAUACGGGCUCGGCAGCCAAUGACACAACAGAAUGCCUUUGCUUCGUGGCGCCAAUCACGUCUGAUGCAGGGACGUUAGUACAGAUUUCCUUUGUCAUCGGAUCCACAACUGAGAACAGAACAAUGGCUCUACCUAAUGAAAACUCGUUGUCAAAUGAGCAUAGUAGCUUGAUUUUUGGUGAACCACUAUGGUUGUUAAAAUACACAAGCAUAGACGAUACAACACUGUUGCAAUCAUGUUUCCAAUUGGAAGGUGCAUAGCGAAAUGGCAUUUUGGAAACAACACUUGCGUAUACUAUAAACUUAUAUUAUUCAUUCGAUGUAAAGUAUUUCUGCUUUGACGUGAUUAGUUUCCUUUCCUUUCUUUUGGCGACAUCGUUUGUGUUUAACGGGUAUGUGUAUAUAUUACGGACCAUUGAUAUGUGCAACUAGCAUGGGUAUGCUUCAGACGAAUCAACAAAUACACGAGUCCCAUUAUUUCAACCACAGAGAUACAACUACUCCAACAAGAGCCGAUACAACACUGGCAAAUGCGGUGUCCAGUGAUGGGAAUCUUUCUACUGGUGCUAUCAUUGCCAUUUCCGCUGGCAGUGGGGUCAUCUCUACCCUCAUCGUCGUUGCAGUGUCUUUCAAGUUGUUUCGCUCUCUGCGCAUAAGGAAAUCACGAAAAUCUGAUGAGUGUCAUCGUCCUGUGAACCAUACCUUAGACGAUACACAUACUGCGUCAUCUCACAUCAAAGCACAUUACGCACAUGUCUACGAGUACCCUUGUAGAGAUGGUGACCAUGAUGACCAUGUUUACCAUGGCAUUAUCCAAGCCGACAGCACAGAUCGAGAGUUAGUUGGUUUUGAAACUACCGGUUACUGGUCGUCAACCGGAUGGUCAUUUGUUCAACGACUUAGAGCAUAGAAACGGAAACCAAAACGACUCAGACAGAUAUGAAAACUUGUAAUAUUAACUAUAUGAUGCUAUGUUCUUAAAUCUUUUUGUAAACAUAAUCAUAAUGGAUGUAGUUGAUGCGUGUUAGUAAUUUCAUUUCAUCGUACCUCAAAAAGUUGUAACUCUGUUGCUCUGGUCUCCUUCCUACCAUUGAGUAAUUAAAUAGUAAUUAAAUUGAAUGCGUUUUUAACCAGGUUUUCCGAGGGAAAAAACUGGUUAUUAGAUUGGCGAAUGCGGGCGGGCUGGCGGGCUGGCUGGCUGGCGGGCGGGCGGAACAAGCAUUGUCCGGGCCAUAACUAUGUCGUUCAUUGUCAGAUUUUAAAAUCAUUUGGCACAUUUGUUCACCAUCAUUGGACGGUGUGUCGCGCGAAAUAAUUACGUCGAUAUCUCCAAGGUCAAGGUCUCACUUUGAGUUCAAAGGUCAAAAAUGGCCAUAAAUGAGCUUGUCCUUGCCAUAACUAUGUCAUUCAUUGUGAGAUUUUAAAAUCAUUUGGCACAUUUGUUCACCAUCAUGGGACGGUGUGUCGCACGAACGAAUCACGUCAAUAUCUCCAAUGUCAAGGUCGCCACGACUAAAAAUAUAUUAUUUUUUAAAAACUUACAAAGGGGGUUAAUUUUGUUUGUUCAUUUCAAAAGUUCAGUUUGAGUUUUCUCCCUUUAUCAGAUUUUUUUUCACAAUGAAAACCUGGUUUUGUGAAAAUUUUGUCCCUUGUAAUUCCCUUGUAUUACUGUUUAUUUUGAGUUGCAAUGCUGUGAGGUUAACUUUCAUUUACACUUAUAUGUAUCAUGAAUAUUGCUGGGCCAAGUAUGUGGUUGAGCGCUCUAUAACCGGUUUUAACCCCCAGUGCUUAGCAUUGACCGUUUCAAGGCUUACCUAGCUUUAUUAUACUAUGUGUAUAUGUUGUUUCGUUUUGGCUGUUACCGUUUUGGCGAUUGAUUCCUUGCCAUAAAUAAAGGACCACGAAGUUGUGUAUGAUAGAAAUGCA